rnacentral:rRNA from 1 species
AGUGAACGCUGGCGGUAGGCCUAACACAUGCAAGUCGAACGGCAGCACAGUAAGAGCUUGCUCUUACGGGUGGCGAGUGGCGGACGGGUGAGGAAUACAUCGGAAUCUACUUUUUCGUGGGGGAUAACGUAGGGAGACUUACGCUAAUACCGCAUACGACCUACGGGUUAAAGCAGGGGAUCUUCGGACCUUGCGCGAUAGAAUGAGCCGAUGUCGGAUUAGCUAGUUGGCGGGGUAAAGGCCCACCAAGGCGACGAUCCGUAGCUGGUCUGAGAGGAUGAUCAGCCACACUGGAACUGAGACACGGUCCAGACUCCUACGGGAGGCAGCAGUGGGGAAUAUUGGACAAUGGGCGCAAGCCUGAUCCAGCCAUACCGCGUGGGUGAAGAAGGCCUUCGGGUUGUAAAGCCCUUUUGUUGGGAAAGAAAAGCAGCAGGUUAAUACCCCGCUGUUCUGACGGUACCCAAAGAAUAAGCACCGGCUAACUUCGUG